UGCUUCAGGGCGGGGUGCAAUUCCCCACCGGCGGUAACAGUCCGCGAACCGUGGCCAGUGCGCUGCGGCCGAACCGGUGAAAUUCCGGUACCGACGGUAUAGUCCGGACGGGAGAGGC
rnacentral:ncRNA from 1 species